UGGGGAAUAUUGGACAAUGGGGGCAACCCUGAUCCAGCCAUGCCGCGUGAGUGAUGAAGGCCUUCGGGUUGUAAAGCUCUUUUGGCGGGGACGAUGAUGACGGUACCCGCAGAAUAAGCCCCGGCUAACUUCGUGCCAGCAGCCGCGGUAAGACGAAGGGGGCAAGCGUUGUUCGGAAUUACUGGGCGUAAAGGGCGCGUAGGCGGUUUGCUUAGUCAGGCGUGAAAGCCCUGGGCUUAACCUGGGAUGUGCGCUUGAUACUGGCAGGCUUGAGUGUGGGAGAGGUUGGUGGAAUUCCCAGUGUAGAGGUGAAAUUCGUAGAUAUUGGGAAGAACACCAGUGGCGAAGGCGGCCAACUGGACCACAACUGACGCUGAGGCGCGAAAGCGUGGGGAGCAAACA
rnacentral:rRNA from 1 species